rnacentral:lncRNA from 1 species
UGCCUUCACCCUGUCCACAUUUGGACAAGUCUAUUUCUAUGAGAUGAUGCAUCUUACGGACUGAUGACAAAUAAGGUAAACGAACUUAUUGUGUAAUUGGUUUUAAACACAAGUUUCGUUCCGCAAAAUUAUUUGCGCAAACGACAUUUCAAGGUCAGUUAUAAUUGAUUUGUCUAUAUUUAGAAACGUAAACUGGAAGGGUUUUUUUUCACAACAGAAAGUGUUGUCAAUUUUGUUAGUGAUUAAUGCAUUUCAUUUCAGGAAAAAAA